rnacentral:rRNA from 1 species
UACAGAGGGGGCAAGCGUUGUUCGGAAUUACUGGGCGUAAAGGGCGCGUAGGCGGCCCGCUAAGUCGAACGUGAAAUCCCCGGGCUCAACCCGGGAACUGCGUCCGAUACUGGUGGGCUCGAAUCCGGGAGAGGGAUGCGGAAUUCCAGGUGUAGCGGUGAAAUGCGUAGAUAUCGGGAGGAACAUCAGUGGCGAAGGCGGCCUUCUGGUCCAGUACUGACACUCAAGUGCGAAAGCGUGGGGAGCAAACAGG